ACAUGCAUUAAUUGUAUUGUCAGCCCUAAAGGCACCAGAUCCCAUUUGACCUCAGAUACUAAUAGGGUUGACCCUAGCGAGUACUUGGAUGGGAGACACCAAUGAAUACCAGGUGCUGCAGGCU
rnacentral:rRNA from 1 species